rnacentral:rRNA from 1 species
GACGUACCACCCGAACGUUAUCCGGAUUCACUGGGCUUACAGAGUCCGUAGGCGGUCAAGAAAGUUAGGCGUGAAAUCCCUCAGCUCAACUGAGGAAUAGCGCUUAAAACUACUUGGCUAGAGAGAGUCAGAGGUGAGCGGAACUGAUGGUGGAGCGGUGAAAUGCGUUGAUAUCAUCAGGAACACCGGUGGCGAAAGCGGCUCACUGGGGCUUUUCUGACGCUGAGGGACGAAAGCUAGGGGAGCGAACGGG